rnacentral:rRNA from 1 species
CCUACGGGUGGCAGCAGUGGGGAAUAUUGCACAAUGGGGGGAACCCUGAUGCAGCAAUGCCGCGUGGGUGAAGAAGCACUCCGGUGCGUAAAGCCCUGUCAGCAGGGAAGAAAAUGACAGUACCUGGACAAGAAGCCCCGGCUAACUACGUGCCAGCAGCCGCGGUAAUACGUAGGGGGCAAGCGUUAUCCGGAUUUACUGGGUGUAAAGGGAGCGUAGGUGGCAAGGCAAGUCAGAUGUGAAAACCCGGGGCCCAACCCCGGGAGUGCAUUUGAAACUGUCUGGCUAGAGUGCAGGAGAGGUAAGUGGAAUUCCUAGUGUAGCGGUGAAAUGCAUAGAUAUUAGGAGGAACACCAGUGGCGAAGGCGGCUUACUGGACUGUAACUGACACUGAGGCUCGAAAGCGUGGGGAGCAAACAGGAUUAGAUACCCCAGUAGUC